rnacentral:rRNA from 1 species
ACGUAGGUGGCAAGCGUUGUCCAGAUUUAUUGGGUUUAAAGGGUGCGUAGGCGGCUUUGUAAGACAGUGGUGAAAUAUGGCAGCUCAACUGUCAGGGUGCCAUUGAUACCGCAGAGCUUGAGUACAGAUGAGGUAGGCGGAAUUGACGGUGUAGCGGUGAAAUGCUUAGAUAUCGUCAAGAACACCGAUAGCGAAGGCAGCUUACUGGGCUGUAACUGACGCUGAGGCACGAAAGUGUGGGGAUCAAACAGGA